UACGAACGCUGGCGGCGUGCUUAACACAUGCAAGUCGAACGGAAAGGCCCUGCUUUUGUGGGGUGCUCGAGUGGCGAACGGGUGAGUAACACGUGAGUAACCUGCCCUUGACUUUGGGAUAACUUCAGGAAACUGGGGCUAAUACCGGAUAGGAGCUCCUGCUGCAUGGUGGGGGUUGGAAAGUUUCGGCGGUUGGGGAUGGACUCGCGGCUUAUCAGCUUGUUGGUGGGGUAGUGGCUUACCAAGGCUUUGACGGGUAGCCGGCCUGAGAGGGUGACCGGCCACAUUGGGACUGAGAUACGGACCAGCCUCCUCAGGGAGGCAGCAGUGGGGAAUAUUGCACAAUGGGCGGAAGCCUGAUGCAGCAACGCCGCGUGCGGGAUGACGGCCUUCGGGUUGUAAACCGCUUUCGCCUGUGACGAAGCGUGAGUGACGGUAAUGGGUAAAGAAGCACCGGCUAACUACGUG
rnacentral:rRNA from 1 species